GCGGGGAUUCGACUUCCCCUGGGGGUA
rnacentral:tRNA from 1 species